UCACUAAUAGCUUAGUAGAGCAUGAGACUCUUAAACUCAGCGCUGUGGGUUCAAGCCCCACAUUGUGCA